CACUCCUACGGGAGGCAGCAGUGGGGAAUAUUGGACAAUGGGCGCAAGCCUGAUCCAGCCAUGCCGCGUGAGUGAUGAAGGCCCUAGGGUUGUAAAGCUCUUUCACCGGUGAAGAUAAUGACGGUAACCGGAGAAGAAGCCCCGGCUAACUUCGUGCCAGCAGCCGCGGUAAUACGAAGGGGGCUAGCGUUGUUCGGAUUUACUGGGCGUAAAGCGCACGUAGGCGGACUAUUAAGUCAGGGGUGAAAUCCCGGGGCUCAACCCCGGAACUGCCUUUGAUACUGGUAGUCUUGAGUUCGAGAGAGGUGAGUGGAAUUCCGAGUGUAGAGGUGAAAUUCGUAGAUAUUCGGAGGAACACCAGUGGCGAAGGCGGCUCACUGGCUCGAUACUGACGCUGAGGUGCGAAAGCGUGGGGAGCAAACAGGAUUAGAAACCCGGGUAGUCCCAUGA
rnacentral:rRNA from 1 species